UAGUCUAGAGGUAUGAUUCUCGCUUUGGGUGCGAGAGGUCCCAGGUUCAAAUCCUCUCCUCGUCCA